ensembl:snRNA LOC120093985 U1 spliceosomal RNA
CUAGUUACCUGGCAGAGGUGAUAACAUGAUCAUGGCUUUCCCUAAGGUGAGGCUCGUCUAUGGCAGUCAGGGCUGGCUGACUCCUCUGGUGUCCCCAUGUGGGGCAAACUUUGACUGUAUAGUUUGUGGUAGUAAGGGACUGUGUUCACACUUUAA